UCGGGAUAGCUCAGUUGGUAGAGCAGAGGACUGAAAAUCCUCGUCGUCA
rnacentral:tRNA from 1 species